GGCUUACACAUGCAAGUCGAGCGGAGAGAGGUAGCUUGCUACUGAUCUUAGCGGCGGACGGGUGAGUAAUGCUUAGGAAUCUGCCUAUUAGUGGGGGACAACAUUUCGAAAGGAAUGCUAAUACCGCAUACGUCCUACGGGAGAAAGCAGGGGAUCUUCGGACCUUGCGCUAAUAGAUGAGCCUAAGUCGGAUUAGCUAGUUGGUGGGGUAAAGGCCUACCAAGGCGACGAUCUGUAGCGGGUCUGAGAGGAUGAUCCGCCACACUGGGACUGAGACACGGCCCAGACUCCUACGGGAGGCAGCAGUGGGGAAUAUUGGACAAUGGGCGCAAGCCUGAUCCAGCCAUGCCGCGUGUGUGAAGAAGGCCUUAUGGUUGUAAAGCACUUUAAGCGAGGAGGAGGCUACUUUAGUUAAUACCUAGAGAUAGUGGACGUUACUCGCAGAAUAAGCACCGGCUAACUCUGUGCCAGCAGCCGCGGUAAUACAGAGGGUGCAAGCGUUAAUCGGAUUUACUGGGCGUAAAGCGCGCGUAGGCGGCUAAUUAAGUCAAAUGUGAAAUCCCCGAGCUUAACUUGGGAAUUGCAUUCGAUACUGGUUAGCUAGAGUGUGGGAGAGGAUGGUAGAAUUCCAGGUGUAGCGGUGAAAUGCGUAGAGAUCUGGAGGAAUACCGAUGGCGAAGGCAGCCAUCUGGCCUAACACUGACGCUGAGGUGCGAAAGCAUGGGGAGCAAACAGGAUUAGAUACCCUGGUAGUCCAUGCCGUAAACGAUGUCUACUAGCCGUUGGGGCCUUUGAGGCUUUAGUGGCGCAGCUAACGCGAUAAGUAGACCGCCUGGGGAGUACGGUCGCAAGACUAAAACUCAAAUGAAUUGACGGGGGCCCGCACAAGCGGUGGAGCAUGGGGUUUAUUCGAUGCAACGCGAAAAACCUUACCUGGCCUUGACAUA
rnacentral:rRNA from 1 species